rnacentral:lncRNA from 1 species
UUAUGGGCAUAGACCCUGCCUAGCACUGGAGAGGUAAAAUCCCUGGAUACCUGUUCUAAAAGGCUCAAAGUGUCACCUCUGCGUCACCUGCACUGGAGUCACCACUUGCCUGUUGGGUAAGACCAGGAUGCACCGCUGAAAUAAAAAGGGGUCAGACAAUACAAGAAAAGCCAGUAGAAAUUGCCAAAUGUAUCAGAAUACACACAGGCUUUCUAAGGAUAUGGCCCAAGAGGAAGGCUCUAGAGCCCACCCUGAAACAGGAUUUUUGACUUCACAGAGAAAUUAUUUAAUUUUCAAUAACACAAUUCAAUUAAAGAAAGGGAAAUACAAGGCUAAACAAAUAAGAAAUGAAGACAAAAACCCAACCUUUCAAAUCUAAAGAAAAUAAUCUGUUUUAAAGACACAGAUGAAGAUCAGGAACCCAAAACAGAAGAAAGGAAAAGCAAUUAACGCUGGCAUCUGAUAACAACGAAAAGUAUGGAGUCUGGAGAAUCGCUAGACUCUAAAAAUUAUAAAGGUUUAGACUUGGACUUUGUACACUGAAGAAAAGAAAACUGCAUGCAUUUAUACUGACCAAUGUACACUAUUGCUGCUUUUUAACUUUUGUGUAUAUGUAGGGUAGAUUUUUUUUAAGUGAAAGCAAGCUUAUUAAGAAAGUAAAAGAAUAAAAAGGUGGCUUCUCCAUAGGCAGAAAACUAGCGUAGUUUUUUUAUUAGAAAUUGUUAUUCAAUAAUAGUACAUGUUACAAAUAAAUACCAUUUUAAACUGAAAAAAUUGUAGACUUUCAAAUCAGUUAGGGUGGUCACCCUAAAAAAGGGCAUUUUUUUCCCGUUAGUCUCCUUGUUCAUGUUGCUCACAACAAGAAAUGGGCUCAUGCUAUGAAUAAUAAUAACAAACACUGCCUUCUGUCAGGCCCUGUGCUGAAUACCGUCUGCAUAUGUAUAGGAAAGGGUUAACUCAGCAGGUCUUGUUUGCCCAGACUCUGUACAUUUCCAAGAAAGGUCUGCCUUUAGGACUGGUCCUUGGCCAGCUCCUGGAGAAUGAGCUCUCAGCUUUUAGAAAAUUCUAUCUGCUAAGAAUAGUUUUGCAUGUCUCAGGUCUUGGGCCACAAAAUAUCAGUUUAAUCAGAUGGUUUAUGUUAACAAGUAUGAUUUAUGGCAAACAUAGAUCUCUAAUCUCCAUUUCUCUCUCAUAUAUCUAUAUUUAUCUAUCCAUAUUAUAUGUACCUAUAUAUAUCAAAUAUGAAGAUAUGUUUAUAGCAAUUGCAUAUACAUAGAGAGAUAGUAUGUAGUAUGAAGAGAGACAUAGAUAUUAUUCUUCAUUUUAGAAUGUUAUCUUGGUAUGUUUAAAAGGAAAAACUUAAGAUGUGUUGCAAUUGCAGUAUGAGUUUCAGGUAUGUACAUGUUAUGUGUGUGUGUGAGAGACACACACAAACACAUUUCAAACAUGUUUUAUGUUUAAGCUCAAUAUUCAAACACAGAAAUAUAACAUCUAUUCUUAAUAUGUUUUAUGUAAGUACAGCAGCAGCAUUAUUAAAUACUGUAUUUCUAUGGUGAUUGAAAAUUAGUAGGCAGAGAAUUUUUGUAAUGGCUCUUAAUAAUUUUUGUAAUAGUAAAUGAUUACUUUUUGUUUAGUAUAGUUUUAUAAUCUAUACAUGAAUAAAGUGGAUAUUUCUAUUCAUAUAGAAAUGUGAUUUACUCUCAUGUACUUAUCUACAUGCUAAAACCAUAAGUUAUCAAUUUUAGUUCUGUGCCAAGGCACUUUUACUGAAUAAAAAUAAUCAGCUAAUUUUAUAUUUUCCUGAUUCAAAUUUAUAUGCCCGUGUAAUGUUCCGGGGUUUUUUUUUUUUUAAUUUCUGUAAAUCAGAAUAUUCAGAUGUUGAAAAAGUCUUUGCCUUCAGAUUUAAAAGAUACCUUUGAAAUGUAGCAUAUCCCAAAAUGCAACCCAGAGGCUGGCAAUGUCAACAUUUUUCUGUUUUAAAAAACCUCUUAUGAAAACUAUUGCCAUACUAAAUUUUUUACUUGCUGAUGACUUACAGCUGGAAAGGAUUCUGUACAUAUAAGACAUCAAAUAUUGAGGAUACUGGAACUUUUAAAUUAAUGGCAAAGAAAGUCAACAAAGGAAGUUCAUAUGAAAUCAAACUAGUAAUAUGAUUACAAAAAAAAAAAGUUUAAAAUUUUUCUUGGCCCCAGUCUUAUCAUUUCUGAGCCAAAUACAAUUCUAUCGAAAUCACCUGAAACUGAAAUCACCAUUCUAGGCUGGUUUUCCCAUAAAGAUGGACUGCUCCAAAAAGAGGAAUCAAGAAAGAAUUUGGCUCACAGUGAAUUAUUCACUUUGUCUUAGUUAAGCAAAAAUAAAAUCUGACUGUUAACUACAGAAAUCAUUUCAAAUUCUGUGGUGAUAAUAAAGUAAUGACCGCUUUUCAGCUGGAGGGACUAACUUUUUUUUUUUUUUUGCUGCAUAUAUAGCUGUGGUACAUUUUAAUGUGAAAUGAUGACUGCAUCAGCUUAUAUCCAUGGAGCAGAUUUUAGCAUUCAGCUUGGGUCUCCC